rnacentral:ncRNA from 2 species
CUGGCUUAAAUUUUUAAUUUUUAAAUUAAUUUAUAUGUAAAUUUUAGUAGGAGUUAGAUAUAUUUUAAAUAGAUAUAUUAGUUAAAAGAUUUUUUUAAGUUCGCAAUAUGGGAGAUUGAAAAUUAAAGAAAUUUAGAUUUAGGAAUUUAAAAUAAUACUGACAAAAUUUGUGCCAGCAGUUGCGGUUACACAAAUAGUAUAAUUAAAUAAGGUUAGUUAGUAAUUAAAUUAUGUAUAUUAAUAGUUUUAGUUUGAAUUUAUUAGGUGAAAUUAUUAAAUUUUGUAUAAGUUAUAUGAUAUGAAUUGAGGUUAUGAAAUUUUUUUUAUAAACUAGGAUUAGAUACCCUAUUAUUGAAAACUUAAAUUGAAAUACUAGAGUAGUAGUAGUUAUGUUCUUGAAAUUUAAAGAAUCUGGCGGUAUUUUAGUCUAUUCAGAGGAACCUGUCCUAUAAUUGAUAGUCCACGAUUAAUUGUACUUAUUUUAAAGGUUUGUAUAUCGUCGUAGGUUGAAUGUUUUAUAAGAAUUUGAAAUGUUCAAUAAUUAUAAUUGUAGAGAAAAUCAGAUCAAGAUACAGCGUAUAGAUGAGAAGAGAUGGGUUACAAUAAAAUUAUUUAGAUGGUUAAUAUAUUUAAUAUUAUAUUAUAAAGCGGAUUUGAUAGUAAUAUAAUUUAUUUAAAUUAUAUGAUUUUAGCUCUAAAAUAUGUACAUAUCGCCCGUCGCUCCCGUUUUAAGAUGGGAUAAGUCGUAACAAAGUAGGCGUACUGGAAAGUGUGCCUAGUCAGG